rnacentral:snRNA from 1 species
AUGCUUACUUUGGCAGCACAUAUACUAAAACUGGAAUGAUACAGAGAACAUUAGCAUGGCCCCUGUGCAAGGAUGACACAUAAACCUUUCCUUUGUUACACUCAUGA